rnacentral:rRNA from 1 species
GACGAACGCUGGCGGCGUGCCUAACACAUGCAAGUCGAACGGAGAUAUGAUUUCGGUUGUAUCUUAGUGGCGAACGGUGAGUAACGCGUGAACAACCUGACCCUAAGAGGGGGAUAACACUCGGAAACGGGUGCUAAUACCGCAUAAGACCACGACCUGGCAUCAGGAUGGGGUCAAAGGAGCAAUCCGCUGAGAGAGGGUUCGCGUCCCAUUAGAUAGAUGGCGGGGUAACGGCCCACCAUGUCAACGAUGGGUAGCCGAGCUGAGAGGCUGAUCGGCCACACUGGAACUGAGACACGGUCCAGACUCCUACGGGAGGCAGCAGUGGGGAAUAUUGGGCAAUGGGCGCAAGCCUGACCCAGCAACGCCGCGUGAGGGAAGAAGGCUUUCGGGUUGUAAACCUCUGUCCUUGGUGACGGAAACAAAUGACGGUAGCCAAGGAGGAAGCCCCGGCUAACUACGUGCCAGCAGCCGCGGUAAU